rnacentral:rRNA from 1 species
CGGGUGAGUAACGCGUGAGGAACCUGCCUCAAAGAGGGGGACAACAGUUGGAAACGACUGCUAAUACCGCAUAAGCCACGGCUCGGCAUCGAGCAGAGGGAAAAGGAGCAAUCCGCUUUGAGAUGGCCUCGCGUCCGAUUAGCUAGUUGGUGAGGUAAUGGCCCACCAAGGCGACGAUCGGUAGCCGGACUGAGAGGUUGAACGGCCACAUUGGGACUGAGACACGGCCCAG